rnacentral:lncRNA from 1 species
UAGGAUCGAUAGGGUUUAUAGGUGCGGGUUGAACAUCCUCCGUGGUGUCUAUAUUCCGUGAGCCUCCCAAAUAGAACAGUAGAUUAUCCUUACCAAGGUUAGAAAGAGAUUACGGUUAUAGUCUUCUCUAUACAUCGCUCACAUCGAGAAACAUUCUUUGUAGCCUAAAGGUUAGUAGUAAUAGACCGGGUUAGUCAGAUGCACUCUUUCUCCUAGUGGUAAAAAAAGUAAAUAUGAUACUCUAGGUAACAUCCCGGGUGAAGUGCUCACCGAUAUCCGUGCGCUUGCGGAUCAAUUCCUUAUUGCGUUCCCAAAUAUCAACAAGCAUUUCUGGCGCCGUUGCCGGGGAGAAAGACGGUUUGCUGAGAUAACCUUGAGUCUUACUACUAGCUUGUAUCUAUACUUUUAUCUUUUCUUAUCUUUUAUAUUCUUUAUUUAUUUUCUUUAUUCUUACCGUAUGGAAAACCAAGAUUCUAAAUCAAUCUAUCAAUUUGCAACACCUUCAGAAACUGACCUUUUACCAUGGGAAUCAUCACAGCCUAUCCAAACAUCCCAGUAUAGGUUAAGUUCCAGGUUAAUUGCCAUGAUUCAAAACCUAUCUUUUUCAGGAAAGGAAGACGAAAACCCUUACCUUCAUAUUAGAGAUUUUUAGCAAACAUGUGAUUGUCUUCGCAUUGAAGACAUUUCUGAUAAAACUUUACGUUGGAAGCUUUUUCCAUUUUCUUUAAGGGGAGAAGCUAGACAAUGGUAUAAUCAGAAGGUAAGUCAACAACGAGGUGAAUGGGGAGUUUUACGAGCCAACUUUUGUCUAGAUUUUUAUUCCCUCGACUGUAUCGGCGACCUUAGACUCGAAGUCCUAUCUUUUAAACAAAAAGAUAAUGAAACUUUGGGAAAAUCCUGGAAACGUUUUUCUGAUCUUUUAGAAUCUGGUCCAAACCUUAAUCUUGAAGACCCUGUUCUUUUAUUUCACUUUUUUUGAGGUCUUCAAAAAUAUCAUAAACAUAUGCUACAUACAAUGUCUAGAGGUUCUUUCUUUCGCAUCCCUACUCAUAAUGCUAGAGUGAUCCUAGAUAAAAUCCUAGAAACUGAGAUGGAUAAUACCCUUCAUGAUGAAACCCACGAAGCCGAAGUAGACACUCUGCCAAAUUUUCCAUCUACUUUAGCUAUCCCAAGUUCUGAGCUAUAAAAGAAAGAAAUUCCACCACCUGAUUUCAUGCUGGAUAUAGAAUCUGAUCUUUUUGCCGAUUUUGGAAACAUUUCAAAUUACCAUUCUAUAGACAAACCCCAAAACGGCCAUUUUAGCAUUUGUUUGCCAACUAAAUAUCAAUUAAGAGAGCUUAUCUCAGUCAUGAGUAGCGAAUGGUUGGAGGAGUCAAAGCUUUCCUUUGAUGUAAUCCGUUUGGACACACCCUCUAUAACUAUACGUUGUUCUUAUGAUUCUGAUCGAUUUGAUGCUCUCUAUAAUCCUGUUGUGGGGAUCAACAUCAUGUCUAAAUCUUUUGCACUUAAAUUAUUUAAAAAUUUGGUCUUAACACCCACAACAAAGGUCAUAAAGGAAUCUUCGGGACGAUUAGUCCCUAGUCUUGGAAUUAUUAAUGUCCUACCCCUUAUGGUAGAAGGCUCCAUGGUUCAUUUGAACUUUUAUAUCUUUGAUACAUGGGACUUCGACCUGUUGAUAGGACAACCCUUUAGAAGACUCCUUUAAGAAGGUCAUACUGGAAAGCUACACAUUUCUUUUGGAAAAACUUUUAAAAUUCCAAUAACAAUUUCACACUCCUUGAAUAAUAAGGCCGAGUCAUAUCUUUUGUCUGAUCCUAUGGAGGAGGUAAAGGCUGCAUCUCUAGAGCUUUUAGAAGAACCAGACUUAGAAGAUGAAGUUCCUUUCUUCAUAGAAGAUGAAGCUGAACCUUCUGAACCUGAACCCUUAGAUGAGUUUGCAGAAACACCUAGACCUCCCAUAGAGAUUAAAACUUUACCACCCGGUCUUAUCUAUGCUUUCCUAAACAAUAAUCCAGAGUUUCCUAUGAUCAUUAGUGAUAAACUCAUUCAGGAGCAAACUCUGCGAUUGAUGACCAUUCUUGAGAAACAUCACUCAGUUUUCGGCUACUCACUCCAAGAUCUUAUAGGAAUCAAUCCUAUGAUUUGUACCCAUCGUAUUCCAAUAGAUCCUUCUGUUUCACCUUCUUGAGAGCCACAACGUAGACUUAACAACACGAUGAGAGAGGUAGUUAAAAAGGAAGUUAUAAAGUUGCUGCAUGCAGGGAUUAUAUAUCCUGUGCCGCAUAGUGAGUGAGUAAGCCUAGUUCAAGUUGUGCCUAAAAAGGGAGGCAUGACUGUUGUUAUGAAUGAAAAGAACGAGCUAAUUCCGCAACGGACCGUCAUAGGAUGGCGGAUGUGCAUAGACUAUAGAAAAUUAAACAAAGCCACGAGAAAGGAUCAUUUUCCUUUACAUUUCAUAGAUGAGAUGCUAGAGCGAUUAGCGAACCAUUCGUUCUUCUAUUUCUUAGAUGGAUGUUCAGGGUAUCACCAGAUCCCGAUCCAUCCUGAUGAUCAAAGCAAAGCCACUGUUACAUGCCCAUACGGAACUUAUGCUUACCGUAGAAUGUCUUUUGGGUUAUGUAAUGCACCAGCUUCUUUUCAACGAUGCAUGAUGUCUAUAUUUUCUGAUAUGAUUGAAGAGAUUAUGGAAGUUUUCAUUGAUGAUUUCUCUGUUUAUGGAAAAACUUUUGAUAGUUGUCUUGAAAACUUAGACAAAGUUUUGCAAAGAUGUGAAGAAAAGCACUUAGUCCUUAAUUGGGAAAAAUGUCAUUUUAUGGUUAGGGAAGGAAUAGUGCUGGGACACCUAGUGUCUGAAAGAGGUAUUGAGGUAGACAAAGCUAAAUUUGAAGUGAUUGAACAACUACCUCCACCUGUGAAUAUAAAAGGAAUUCGAAGCUUUCUUGGCCAUGCUGGUUUUUAUCGCAGAUUCAUAAAAGAUUUUUCAUUUAUUGCUAGACAACUUACUCUUUUGCUAGCCAAGGAUGCUCCUUUCGAAUUUGAUGAUGCAUGCCUAACAUCUUUCAAUUUAUUAAAGAAUGCACUCAUCUCUGCACCAAUCAUUCAACCCCCUGAUUGGUCGUUGCCUUUUGAAAUUCUGUGUGAUGCUAGUGAUUAUGGUGUGGGGGCAGUUUUGGCACAAACUAAAAAUAGGAAGCAUCAUGCAAUUGCUUAUGCCAGUAAAACUUUGACAGGAGCUCAACUUAAUUAUGCAACCACUGAAAAAGAGCUUCUGGCUGUUGUCUUUGCCAUUGAUAAAUUUAGAUCUUAUUUAGUUGGAGCUAAAAUAAUUGUUUACACUGAUCAUGCUGCACUAAAAUAUCUGCUCACUAAAAAAGAUGCUAAACCUCGCCUGAUUAGAUGAAUCUUAUUACUUAGAAAAAAAAAGAUAAAAAGGGAGUAGAAAAUUCUGUUGCUGAUCACUUGUCUAGAAUGUAUUUUAAGAAUCCAUAGGAAACCCCCAUCAAUGAUUCACUCCGGGAUGACAUGCUCUACGGGAUUAACAGGUCUAACCCCUGGUAUGCAGAUAUUGUUAAUUUUAUGGUUUCUAGGUAUGUACCACCAGGACCAAACAAGAAGAAGCUUAUUCAAGAAAGUCGUUCACAUAUAUGGGAUGAGCCAUACCUCUUCUGAGUAUGCUCUGAUGGCUUACUCAGGAGAUGUGUAACCACCGAGGAAGGAUGGAAGAUCAUCAACAGGUGUCAUUCGUCACCAUAUGGAGGUCAUUAUGGAGCAUUCCAUACACAUUCAAAGAUCUGGCAGUGUGGAUUCUACUGGCCUACAAUGUGUGAAGACACGAAGCAAUAUAUCAGAAGAUGUGGGCCAUGUCAAAGGCACAGAAACAUAAACACAAGGGAUGCCAUGCCACUCACCAACAACCUUUAGAUUCAGCUCUUUGAUGUCUGGGGAAUAGACUACAUGGGUCCAUUUUCCCCAUCAAAGAAGUGUGAGUUCAUCUUGGUGGCAGUUGACUACGUCUCCAAGUGGGUAGAGGCACUACCUUGGAAGCAUGCCGACAACAUCAGUUCAAAGAGGAUGUUUGAAGAAGUUAUAUUUCCAAGAUUUGGAGUUCCAAGAGUAGUGAUAAGUGAUGGAGGAGCACACUUCAUUGACAAACGCUUCAAGCAAUAUCUAUCAAAACAUGGAAUCCGUCACAAAGUCACUACCCCCUAUCAUCCUCGGACAAGUGGCCAAGCAGAGACUUCCAAAUCAAGAAUAUUCUUCAGAAGACAGUCAAUGAAAUGGGAACGGCGUGGAAAGACAAGUUACCCGAUGCACUCUGGGCAUACCGGACAGCAUACAAGACCCCAAUUGGAAUGUCCCCAUACCAAUUGGUGUACGGGAAGACUUGCCACCUACCUGUUGAACUAGAAUUCAAAGCACACUAGGCCAUAAGGAGAUGGAAUAUGGACCUAGAUGUCGCUAGAGGUCAUAGAAGAAUGCAACUAUCAGAAUUGGAAGAAUGGCAAGAGAAAGCAUAUCACAAUUCGAAGAUCCAUAAAGAAAGAGUCAAAAGGUGGCAUGACAAGAGGAUCAAGAAGAAGGAGUUCGCACCCGGAGAUAAGGUAUUACUUUUUAAUUCCAGAGUGAAGCUUUUCGGGCAUGGAAAACUCCGGAGUAAAUGGGAAGGACCAUUCAAAGUAAUCGAUUCAUCAUCCCACGGAGCUAUCACACUUCAAAAUGAUGAAGAAAGCAGAAAACAAGUAUGGGGGAGAUCCCUCGACAUGUCAAAUACACUUUGACUACCCCUCUCUACGAUUUAGGUACAUACUCUGCACACUUUACAUACAUAUAUAUCUUGGAUUAUGCAGAAUAUUGUCUCCAACAUGAGAAAUUAAAAAGAUUAAAAUGUUUCUAAAUCAUGAUUAAUCUCACUCUGUGAUAUUUUCUGAAAAUCUGAAAUUAUUGAAAAAAAUCAUUUUAAAACCCUGUGUUGCUUGAGUCAUUGUGGAAUGUGAGAUGAUAGAGUAUAAGUACCUUAUUCUUGAUAUCAUUGUUGCUUGGAGCAUUUAUUUCAAAAUCUUCACAAAUUCUAGCUACCAUCUUUAGUGUUUUAUAUGUCUGAUAAAACUGAAAAUAUUAAUUAUGAUUAUGAAAGCUAUCUGCUCUGUAUUGAGUUUGUUAAAAAUGAGUUAGACCCUUGUUGAGAGAUUUAUCAUGCUCCUAAGAUCAAGAUAUUUUAUUCAGAAAGAUUCACUCUUCCGAAGUAUUAUUGCAUUAGAGACAUGGGCUAUGCAAAAAUAUGAAUUUUUCGAGGAAAUAAAAAGGAGCAAGUGCUCGACAACCUCAUAGAAAAAAAUGGACCAUGGUCCCUCUAAUAAGCAAUAUGCCAGUAAGAGCUGACAAGAUUUUAAUUUCCAAAGUCUUUGAUCUAAGAGUAUGGCAUUCUUCUCCUCGGAUCCCGUUUUGAUCAGGCAAUAAAUGCAAGGUCAGUAUGCUUGAGAAUUUUUGCAAAUUGAAACAGCCUCAGUGAGAUAUAAAAGAUAAUGAGUGACCUGAGAGAACCUAUGAGGAUAAGGGUAUGCUAAAUUUUUUUUCAAAAAUAUACAAAAACUCCAAGUAACAGUAUUGAGAAGAAAAGACCGCUACUCUUGAUCAUAUAUUUAUCUGACUACAGUACAUAGUGAAUUUUUACAACACCCUACAGGUAUAAAGAAAAUACUUUACAAUGUUUUAACCCCAGAUAUUUUUCUUAACCAUCCUUUUCUCGAGGACGAGUAAAAGCCUAAGUAUGGGGGUAUUUGUUGACGGUUCUUAAGUAUCAAUUUUAAUUAUCAAAUAAACAAGGGAAAGGACCAAUAUACAAACAACACCUAGAAUUAGGGUUUGAUCUGACAGAAUUCCACGAGUUUUGUUGUUUAUCUGUUUCUGCAGGGGGUUAUCAAGAAAUAAGGAAGAAAGACCCACAUGUCCCGUUAGUAGGAUCGAUAGGGUUUAUAGGUGCGGGUUGAACAUCCUCUGUGGUGUCUAGAUUCCGUGAGCCUCCCCAAUAGAACAGUAGAUUAUCCUUGCCAUGGUUAGAAAGAGAUUACGGUUGUAGUCUUCUCUAUACAUCGCUCACAUCGAGAAACAUUCUUUGUAGCCUAAAGGUUAGUAGUAAUAGACCGGGUUAGUCAGAUGCACUCUUUCUCCUAGUGGUAAAAAAAUAAAUACGAUACUCUGGAUAACAUCCCGGGUGAAGUUCUCACUGAUAUCCGUGCACUUGCGGAUCAAUUCCUUAUUGCGUUCCCAAAUAUCAACAGUACGCAUUCAUCCAUCCACAUAUACAUACUCCUCAUCCACUCAGAAAAUGUUCUACUCCUACACUGGGAGAGGACACCCAAAAAUAUUCAUUGCCAUUAUGUCUUUUUCUAGUUAUCCAAUAAAGCUCUAGUUAUUUUAGUUGAUACUCCCUACUGCUAUUAGUGCACUAAAAGGAUUGGCUAUUUAAAAACAAAGAGAAAAGAAAAGAAAGAGGACAAAAGUCCCAAAAGAAAAGAAAAAGUAGCCAAGUCCUUAUUUUUAGAUUAGGGAGGUAUGUUAUCCCCAAGGAGCAAUUCUAGAAUUAGAUUUUCACCAUCAAUCAUCACACCUUAUUAUCACCAUCAUUCUUAUCACUCAUUUCAUUCACUGCACUCGCAUGCACAUAUGACUUGAUUGUAUGACUAGUUUCUCUAGAUCCAUGGUUUAACUAUGCAAUACAUGCAAGUAGGUUUGAAUUGUCUCCUCCACCUAUAAGCUCUACAUAAGCCUAUUAGAAAUAGGGUGAAAGAGAGAAGGCAAUUUCACUAAGCCUUAGUCCUACAAAUACCACAUAUUCUGAGAGAAGAGAGAAGGCAUACCUUACACGUGCCUUGGAGAGAAUCCAAAAAUACCACAAAUGAGAGACGUGAAAGGGUCAUACAAGGAAUCUCUGAGUUUUAUUUGAAAAUCUUGCAAAAACUCUAGAAUAAUAGUUGAUCAAAGGGCGAGAAACAUAGCACUCAACUUAACCGUUUUGUCUUUCAACUUCUCAAGACCUAAGAGAAGGCUACAAGCCCCA